rnacentral:rRNA from 1 species
UACGUAGGGUGCAAGCGUUGUCCGGAAUUAUUGGGCGUAAAGAGCUCGUAGGCGGUCUGUUGCGUCGGCUGUGAAAACCCGGGGCUCAACUCCGGGCCUGCAGCCGAUACGGGCAGACUAGAGUUCGGCAGGGGAGACUGGAAUUCCUGGUGUAGCGGUGAAAUGCGCAGAUAUCAGGAGGAACACCGGUGGCGAAGGCGGGUCUCUGGGCCGAUACUGACGCUGAGGCUCGAAAGCGUGGGGAGCGAACAGG